rnacentral:rRNA from 1 species
CAGACGGGUGAGUAACGCGUGGGAAUCUACCCUUUUCUACGGAAUAACGCAGGGAAACUUGUGCUAAUACCGUAUAAGCCCUUCGGGGGAAAGAUUUAUCGGGAAAGGAUGAGCCCGCGUUGGAUUAGCUAGUUGGUGGGGUAAAGGCCUACCAAGGCGACGAUCCAUAGCUGGUCUGAGAGGAUGAUCAGCCACAUUGGGACUGAGACACGGCCCAAACUCCUACGGGAGGCAGCAGUGGGGAAUAUUGGACAAUGGGCGCAAGCCUGAUCCAGCCAUGCCGCGUGAGUGAUGAAGGCCCUAGGGUUGUAAAGCUCUUUCACCGGUGAAGAUAAUGACGGUAACCGGAGAAGAAGCCCCGGCUAACUUCGUGCCAGCAGCCGCGGUAAUACGAAGGGGGCUAGCGUUGUUCGGAAUUACUGGGCGUAAAGCGCACGUAGGCGGACAUUUAAGUCAGGGGUGAAAUCCCAGAGCUCAACUCUGGAACUGCCUUUGAUACUGGGUGUCUAGAGUAUGGAAGAGGUGAGUGGAAUUCCGAGU